AUACAUCUCCGCCUCCAGUUUGGUGCAGCAUUGCAUCUAUUUCAUCUCCAUCUUCCAUCUCAAGCUCAUCAGGAGUCUGUUCUCCACGCAGUCUGCGCCCAUCAAAUAAAAAUGCAAUGGAGUUCAACUCCACUGACUGUCUAUCACAGUAAGCAGUCAUUAGCUUGCGCAGCUGGGUGCUUCGCUUGAUCCUGAAGAACACCUCAUUGCCAUCCUGGCCCUUAACUUUUAGAUUAAUGUGAGCAGACUGAUCCAUAGGCUUCUUAUCCUCCUCCUGAGC
rnacentral:misc_RNA from 1 species